ACAAUGGAGAGUUUGAUCCUGGCUCAGGAUGAACGCUAGCGGCAGGCCUAAUACAUGCAAGUCGAACGAUAGUGAGGAGCUUGCUCUUCACGAAAGUGGCGCACGGGUGCGUAACGCGUAUGCAACCUACCUUAAUCAGGGGGAUAGCCCGAAGAAAUUCGGAUUAACACCGCAUAAAAACACAGAGUAGCAUUACUCAAUGUUCAAAUAUUUAUAGGAUUAAGAUGGGCAUGCGUGUCAUUAGCUAGUUGGCGGGGUAACGGCCCACCAAGGCGACGAUGACUAGGGGAUCUGAGAGGAUGACCCCCCACACUG
rnacentral:rRNA from 1 species